rnacentral:rRNA from 1 species
GACGAACGCUGGCGGCGUGCUUAACACAUGCAAGUCGAACGGAAAGGCCCUGCUUUUGUGGGGUGCUCGAGUGGCGAACGGGUGAGUAACACGUGAGUAACCUGCCCUUGACUUUGGGAUAACUUCAGGAAACUGGGGCUAAUACCGGAUAGGAGCUCCUGCUGCAUGGUGGGGGUUGGAAAGUUUCGGCGGUUGGGGAUGGACUCGCGGCUUAUCAGCUUGUUGGUGGGGUAGUGGCUUACCAAGGCUUUGACGGGUAGCCGGCCUGAGAGGGUGACCGGCCACAUUGGGACUGAGAUACGGCCCAGACUCCUACGGGAGGCAGCAGUGGGGAAUAUUGCACAAUGGGCGGAAGCCUGAUGCAGCAACGCCGCGUGCGGGAUGACGGCCUUCGGGUUGUAAACCGCUUUCGCCUGUGACGAAGCGUGAGUGACGGUAAUGGGUAAAGAAGCACUGGCUAACUACGUGCCAGCAGCCGCGGUGAUACGUAGGGUGCGAGCGUUGUCCGGAUUUAUUGGGCGUAAAGGGCUCGUAGGUGGUUGAUCGCGUCGGAAGUGUAAUCUUGGGGCUUAACCCUGAGCGUGCUUUCGAUACGGGUUGACUUGAGGAAGGUAGGGGAGAAUGGAAUUCCUGGUGGAGCGGUGGAAUGCGCAGAUAUCAGGAGGAACACCAGUGGCGAAGGCGGUUCUCUGGGCCUUUCCUGACGCUGAGGAGCGAAAGCGUGGGGAGCGAACAGGCUUAGAUACCCUGGUAGUCCACGCUGUAAACGGUGGGUACUAGGUGUGGGGUCCAUUCCACGGGUUCCGUGCCGUAGCUAACGCUUUAAGUACCCCGCCUGGGGAGUACGGCCGCAGGGCUAAAACUCAAAGGAAUUGACGGGGCCCCGCACAAGCGGCGGAGCAUGCGGAUUAAUUCGAUGCAACGCGUAGAACCUUACCUGGGUUUGACAUGGAUCGGGAGCGCUCAGAGAUGGGUGUGCCUCUUUUGGGGUCGGUUCACAGGUGGUGCAUGGCUGUCGUCAGCUCGUGUCGUGAGAUGUUGGGUUAAGUCCCGCAACGAGCGCAACCCUUGUUCACUGUUGCCAGCACGUUAUGGUGGGGACUCAGUGGAGACCGCCGGGGUCAACUCGGAGGAAGGUGGGGAUGACGUCAAGUCAUCAUGCCCCUUAUGUCCAGGGCUUCACGCAUGCUACAAUGGCUGGUACAGAGAGUGGCGAGCCUGUGAGGGUGAGCGAAUCUCGGAAAGCCGGUCUCAGUUCGGAUUGGGGUCUGCAACUCGACCUCAUGAAGUCGGAGUCGCUAGUAAUCGCAGAUCAGCAACGCUGCGGUGAAUACGUUCCCGGGGCU